GAAGAGAGACGACCUCUGCCAGUAAGGAAGUGGUUUCAACCCGCCUGCCUUUCUUGUUUUAUCUUUGGUGAAUGAAAAGAGGACGCCUGCGAAAACAGUUUGUUGCGACGGUGGGAUAGCGAGGCAAGGUUUUCCGUUAGUCGAAGCUGCUGUUGCAUAUUCCUUCUGUUGCUGCUGCUGCCGCCGCCACCGCCGCCGCCGCUUGCUUCCCUGCUGCAGUUUCAUAGAACAG